rnacentral:rRNA from 1 species
GAUCCUGGCUCAGGAUGAACGCUGGCUACAGGCUUAACACAUGCAAGUCGAGGGGAAACGACAUCGAAAGCUUGCUUUUGAUGGGCGUCGACCGGCGCACGGGUGAGUAACGCGUAUCCAACCUGCCCAUCACUUGGGAAUAAUCUUGCGAAAGUAAGACUAAUGCCCAAUGAUAUCCCACGAAGGCAUCCGAAUGGGAUUAAAGAUUUAUCGGUGAUGGAUGGGGAUGCGU